rnacentral:rRNA from 1 species
AGAAUCAACGCUGGCGGCGUGCCUAACACAUGCAAGUCGAACGCGAAAGUCCCGCAAGGGAUUAGUAGAGUGGCAAACGGGUGAGUAACACGUGGGUGACCUGCCUUCGAGUGGGGGAUAACGUCCCGAAAGGGACGCUAAUACCGCAUAACAUCCUGCCUUUGAAGAGGUGGAGAUCAAAGCCGGGGACCGCAAGGCCUGGCGUUCGGAGAGGGGCCCGCGCCUGAUUAGCUAGUUGGUGAGGUAACGGCCCACCAAGGCUUCGAUCAGUA